GUCUGUGUGGGGAAAACUAGCUCAGUGUGUUCAGGAACAGAAUGAAGGUCAGUGUGGCUGGAACAGAGACAGAGAGAGGGGUGGAUGGUAUAAAGUUAGGUUGGAGAAGUCAACAGGGGCAAAAUCAUGCAGGGUCUUGCCCUGCAUUUUGGAUUUUAUUCCAAAUGCAAGAGGAAGACCUUGGGGGAUUUUCAGGAAGGGUGUGACCUGAUCUGCUUUAUGUUUCUAAAAGAUCACUCUGGCCGCUGGGUGAUCUUGGAUUGGAUUAUAGGAUAUGCAAGGAUGAAAGCAAUACUGGAGGAAGAGUUUGCAUUUAAAAAUUCCAAUUUUCUCACGGCUGAGGCAGAGAAGGAGAAAAAGGAAUUUACCUGUGCAUGAUCCACCUGAGCUAACCGGGAAGAUGAGAAAGACCUUCAAGGCAGGAGACAUGGUGCCCAAUCCCAGGAAUAAAUGCUUAGCAUCUUUUCUACUCUGGAGGGAAGAGAGAUGAUAUCAGCAGAGAAUGAAGCUGAAACAACAGAAGCAUCAUAAUAUAGAUGGAAGAGUUUAAAAUUUCAGAGAGGGGCUUCCCUGGUGGCGCAGUGGUUAAGAAUUGCCUGCCAAUGGAGGGGACAUGGGUUUGAGACAUGGUCUGGGAAGAACCCACAUGCCGUGGAGCAACUAAGCCGG